rnacentral:rRNA from 1 species
AGAGUUUGAUCAUGGCUCAGGAUGAACGCUAGCGGCAGGCCUAAUACAUGCAAGACGAACGGCGAGAGUUAUAGCAAUAUGAUUCCUAGAGUGUCGUAAGGGUGCGUAACACGUAUGCAAUCUGCCCUGUACAGGAGGAUAGCUCCCCGAAAGGGGAAUUAACACUCCAUAGGAUAUCGAUGUGGCAUCACAUUGAUAUUAAAACUGAGGUGGUACAGGAUGAGCAUGCGCAUGAUUAGUUAGUUGGCGGGGUAAAGGCCCACCAAGACGAUGAUCAUUAGGGGAACUGAGAGGUUGAUCCCCCACACUGGCACUGAGAUACGGGCCAGACUCCUACGGGAGGCAGCAGUAGGGAAUAUUGGACAAUGGGUGAGAGCCUGAUCCAGCCAUGCCGCGUGCAGGAAGAAGGCCUUCUGGGUCGUAAACUGCUUUUGCCAGGGGAUAAAAAUUCCAUGCGUGGAAGAUUGAAGGUACCUGGUGAAUAAGCCACGGCUAACUACGUGCCAGCAGCCGCGGUAAUACGUAGGUGGCAAGCGUUGUCCGGAUUUAUUGGGUUUAAAGGGUGCGUAGGCGGUUCCAUAAGUCAGUGGUGAAAUACGGCAGCUCAACUGUCGAGGUGCCAUUGAUACUGCGGAACUUGAGUACUGAUGAGGUAGGCGGAAUGGACGGUGUAGCGGUGAAAUGCUUAGAGAUCGUCCAGAACACCGAUAGCGAAGGCAGCUUACUAAGGAGUAACUGACGCUGAGGCACGAAAGUGUGGGGAUCAAACAGGAUUAGAUACCCCAGUAGUCC